CCUUCAAGAAAAUAACGUAGGUAUAUCUUAAAGGCCGGCAAUGUACUUGCGACCCCUAUGCUAUUACAGAAACGGUAUCAUGGUCGCAUUUUUAUCACCUGUCAUGCCAUGCGUCACUUUUGCACUUGCAUAUUUGUUAGAACGUGACAGGCAUGGUGACAAAUGAUAAGGAGCCGACCAUCUUAGCCCUACAGAACCUAUGUAAGUUUGUUAGUGUGGGUCAAAUCUUGGAAGCUAAAUUUGACCCACAUCCCGAUUUCCGAUUGAACUGGAAAUUUGCAUACAUAAUGUAAGUCGGAUGACAAAGCAAUAUUAUGGUAUCAUUAAGCUGCUCUGAUGAUGGAGACAGGUGGCCAUGCUGGAGACGGAAUAGUCCCUAUGACGGAAUUAGUCACAUUGACCUUACCAAAAACUAAAUUUUGCCAAUAACACUUUUAUUAAGCCUAAUUGACUUUAUCGCCAUACGAUUAAAUAAGUAAAUACAUAAAAAAUUCAGACCAAUAACACCAAACAAAACAUGCACGUUUCCACGGUUUUAAAACUGAAAUAUCUUCUAUUUCUAAACCAAUCAAAGCUUUUUGCGCUGUGAUUAAUUAAAACUCAUAGAAAACUAUUUUAUUUUUCGAUGUUAGAUAUCUUGUCGGUACCCAAAUUUUGGAGCACGUUUUGAGCGUUACCUUUUUUUUUCAUUCAUUUAUUAACACAAAAUAUUUAUAUACAUUCAAAGAAUUAUGACAACGAACAAAGCCCCCUGAGGCUUAACUGCCGCUGUCAUCGCUCUUAAUUACUCUUAAUUAUUAUAUUAAACUAUGGAGUAUUUCAUUUCACGAAGUCGGCAAUCAUUACUCAAGUCAUCAAUCAUUUACAAUAGCUAUUUCUUAAUAAGUACCUUUCUAAACGAAUGAAACCAAAAAAAUAUCCUCCUAAGGCCCAAGGUGCUACCUAUAGUAGGUACUUAUUCAGUUCAAUGAAUUUUAAAUCAUAUUCGAUUGGAACAGAGUUGCUUUUGCUUUGUUUCGUUCAGUGUUUGAACAACGCAAAAUCAAUUCUAUUUCCUACAUUGUAGGUUCAAAAUUUCUGAUUUGAUAGCUGUUAGUCCAAAUUGUAAUUCGUCCAAGUAGCGAUUUGUCCAUUACGUGGUUCGUCAAGUAUCAUUUACGCCGUUCGCCCAUAUCGCGAUUCGUCCAAGUCGCCAUUUGUCCAAAACUUAGUUCGUCAACUACGUGGUUCGUCAAGUAUCAUUUACGCCGUUCGUCCAUAUCGCGAUUCGUCCAAGUCGCUAUUUGUCCAUUUUGUUUCUGCCGCAGUGGAAAUGGAGCCUAAUUAAACCCAUUUGUAAAUUAUAUAUAAAAAUAUAUAUACAUACAAGCUACAAAAUAAUUGAAUGUAUAUAUAUUUUUUAUAUAAUAUUUUCUUACUACUGAGGUGAAAAAUUGUAUGUGUAACACGAGAGCAAAGUUAUUUUACAUCUCGUGUUUUUGUGUCCCUCACUACGCUCAAGAUUCUAAAUGAGAAUCACUCGCUUCGCUCGUGAUUCAAUGAUAGAAUCUUUCGCUUACUCGGGACUCAAAAUAAACACUCGCAAGAAAAACCAACUUUCCUCUCUUGUUGCACAAA